rnacentral:rRNA from 1 species
GCCUAAAGCGUCCGUAGCCUGCUUUGUAAGUUUUCGGUUAAAUCCAUCAGCUCAACUGAUGGGCCGCCGAAAAAACUGCAAAGCUAGGGAGUGGGAGAGGUAGACGGUACUCGAUAGGAAGGGGUAAAAUCCUUUGAUCUAUUGAUGACCACCAGUGGCGAAGGCGGUCUACCAGAACACGUUCGACGGUGAGGGAUGAAAGCUGGGGGAGCAAACCGGAUUAGAUACCCGGGUAGUCCCAGCUGUAAACGAUGCAGACUCGGUGAUGCAUUGGCUUGUGGCCAGUGCAGUGCCGCAGGGAAGCCGUUAAGUUUGCCGCCUGGGAAGUACGUACGCAAGUAUGAAACUUAAAGGAAUUGGCGGGGGAGCACCACAAGGGGUGAAGCCUGCGGUUCAAUUGGAGUCAACGCCAGAAAUCUUACCCGGAGAGACAGCAGAAUGAAGGUCAAGCUGAAGACUUUACCAGACAAGCUGAGAGGUGGUGCAUGGCCGUCGCCAGCUCGUGCCGUGAGAUGUCCUGUUAAGUCAGGUAACGAGCGAGACCCUUGCCUCUAGUUGCCACCAUUGCUCUCUGGAGCAGUGGGGCGAAUUAGCGGGACCGCCGCAGUUAAUGCGGAGGAAGGAAAGGGCUACGGCAGGUCAGUAUGCCCCGAA